rnacentral:lncRNA from 1 species
GUGCUCGUGCUUUAGCCGAGUGCGGCAGUGUGUGGAAGCGCUUUCCACGGGACGGAUGGGGGUUAUCGAGGAGACAGCGACACCAUCAGAGGGGUGAGCGGGAGGAGGGGGGGAAUGGGAAUGGGGGGGAUAGGAUCUUAGUUGCCGAGUGGGGCGGUGGGGAUGUAUCGCUGCAAUGCGAGAGGUCAGACCUGUCGGGUGUUCUGUUAAGAGUAUAAUUUAAGCAGCAACUGUGAGUUAUGUGGGCAGGCCAGGGCGGAUUCACUCACCAGGAUUGGGGCUCCUAUUUGGAUAAACUCCUAACUCGAUUGGCAAUCGACUCUACAUUAAAAACUUUUUAUCGUAUGGAGUUGAGUGCUGGCCCAGGCAGUAUAGUUAUUAUGAGUUGUUGGUUAGAGGAGACCGCAACGACUUAUGUCACGGAACGUGCCGCGUUGGACCAACCAACUAAUGUACGGCCGGUUAGACCGGCGGGUUUCAAUGGGGGUGUGAAACUCAAUGGAGUGUCUCUCAAUCAGGAUGAUUGCAAUACUUUCCGUUCUUAAGCCAGUGGACAGAUCAUGUCUUGCCGCAGUGUAACAACUCCGUAACGCCAACAAGGCGCUGCAACACCGGGCCCCCUUUUUAGGCGCCUGCAUCCACGCGGCUCGC